CGUUCCCGGGCCUUGUACACACCGCCCGUCAAGUCACGAAAGUUGGUAACACCCGAAGCCGGUGGCCUAACCCCUUGUGGGAGGGAGCUGUCGAAGGUGGGACUGGCGAUCGGGACU
rnacentral:rRNA from 1 species